UACAGAGGGGGCAAGCGUUGUUCGGAAUUACUGGGCGUAAAGGGCGCGUAGGCGGCCUGUUAAGUCGGACGUGAAAUCCCUCGGCUCAACCGGGGAACUGCGUCCGAUACUGGCGGGCUUGAAUUCGGGAGAGGGAUGUGGAAUUCCAGGUGUAGCGGUGAAAUGCGUAGAUAUCAGGAGGAACACCGGUGGCGAAGGCGGCUCUCUGGACAAAUACCGACGCUGAGGCACGAAAGCUAGGGGAGCAAACAGG
rnacentral:rRNA from 1 species